GCAUUAAUGGGGUAGUGGUAACCUGGGUCGUUGCCAUCACAAAACCAUCGACCCGCCGGGGGUUCGAUUCCCUCUUAAUGCA